GUGACAAUGCGACGCCGCGUGCGCGAUGAAGGUUUUCGGAUUGUAAAGCGCUGUCGACCGGGAUGAAUCUCCGGAGGAUGAAUAAUCCUUCUGGGUGACAGUACCGGUAGAGGAAGCCACGGCUAACUCCGUGCCAGCAGCCGCGGUAAUACGAGUGGUGCGAGCGUUGUUCGGAAUUACUGGGCAUAAAGAGCACGUAGGCGGUCUGGUAAGUCUGCUGUGAAAUCCCCCGGCUCAACCGGGGAACUGCAGCUGAAACUGCCUGGCUAGAGUGCGGGAGGGGAGAGCGGAAUUCCUGGUGGAGCGGUGAUAUGCGUAGAUAUCAGGAGGAACGCCGGAGGCGAAAGCGGCUCUCUGGUCCGCAACUGACGCUGAGGUGCGAAAGCUAGGGGAGCGAACAGGAUUAGAUACCCUGGUAGUCCUAGCCGUAAACGAU
rnacentral:rRNA from 1 species